rnacentral:lncRNA from 1 species
AGCAUCCUAGAAAAAAAUCUGCAUGCAGAAAAUUUUCAGCAUGCAUAAUCUUUCAAUUUUCAGUUCUAAUAAGCCUAUUAAUAAUUAAUCCUUACCUUAAUCUACGAAGCCUAAGCUCUGAUACCACUGUUAGAAAACCCCGAUCAUGCCGCUGAAAUUCAAAAAUUUCAGAUGCAGCGGAAGUGGCAUGUGCGGGAUCAACCGUUCAUCGCAUGAACGUUGUUUAAAAAUCGUUCGUAGAUAGAUAAGGAUUAAAAACUUUUAAAUAACAUUAGAAGAUCAGAUCUUCACCUUUGUGCGGGUAGAUGAUCACCGCAAACUGAUGAUCGUGGUUUAGGAUGAAGGUUCGCUUGAAGUCGUUCAAGUGCCCGGCCUCUACGGGUAUCCACACGAAGCAGAAAACCAAUCCAAGCUUUCUAUCUCCCCGGGGUGCUAGCUCCCUUGCAGAGAUAACUUUGAUGGCUGAUAUCCUCCCUUUCAAUCAAUCCUUGAUUGUGCUU